rnacentral:rRNA from 1 species
AUUGAACGCUGGCGGCAGGCCUAACACAUGCAAGUCGAGCGGAUGAAGGGAGCAUGCUUCUGGAUUGAGUGGCGGACGGGCGAGUAAUGCAUAGGAAUCUGCCUGGCCGUGGGGGAUAACGUCCGGAUACGGGCGCUAUUCUAGCAUCCGUUAUGAGGGAGAAAGUGGGGGAUUUUCGGACAUCACGCCAACUGCUGAGCCUAGGUCGGAUUAGCUAGUUGGUAGGGUAAAGGCCUACCAAGGCGCCGACCCGUAACUGGUCUGAGAGGAUGAUCAGUCACACUGGAACUGGGACACGCUCCAGACUCCUACGGGAGGCGGCGGUGGGGAAUAUUGGACAAUGGGCGAAGGCCUGAUCCAGCCAGGCCGCGUGUUUAAGGAAGUUCUUCGGAUUGUAAAGCACGUUAAGUUGGGAGGAAGGGCAGUAAGUUAAUACCUUGCUGUUUUGACGGUACCAACAGAAUAAGCACCGGCUAACUACGUG